CCCGCCCACUCCACGGCAGAGAAUGGGUGAGUGAGGCGUCAUGCAUAGAAUGUCCGUAGCUCUCUCCUGUGGAGGUCUGCGGACGUUCCAUUUUGGAGUUCUAUGUUCUGGUUCCAUUUAGAAUGUCCCAUGUCCUGUUGAACCUGGAAUGGGUUACCUGUGCCACCUGGAAUGCGGUGCCAAUAUAAAACACUACAGGGUUAUUCACUAAAGUGAGAAUGAGGAGUGAAUUUCAAAUCGCAAGGGAUGCUGCGUCUAAAUGAAGUUAUUAUGGUGCCAGGAGGCCCCCGAGCGUCCUCUUACUUUGAGUGGUUAGAGCGUUCUAGAACAAUUAAAGGGACACUAUAGUCACCCAGACCACUUCAGCUCAAUGAAGUGGUCUGGGUGCCAGGACCCUCAGGUUUUAACCCUGCAGCUGAAUGUUUACAUUAGGCGUUAAGCGAGCCUCUAGUGGCCGUCUUCCUGAUGUAUCUGCGACGCUGGAUGUGAAUUUCACAUCCAUCGCGCAGAGCGUCCAUAGGAAAGCAUUGAGAAAUGCUUCUAUUUGGAGUGUUUUGAAUGGGCGCGCGGCACUUGCUGCGCAUUCCGCUCCACUCGGGAGCUGACGUCGGCGGGGGAGGAGAGGUCACCGGCGCUGGAAUAAGGGAAGCUGCUGAAGGGGUUUUAACCAUCGCUUUGUUUUCCUGAUCCUUUAACCCCAAAGGUUAUCUCCAGAUCCCCCAAGUGGCAUCUGGGGAAGUCAGCUGACGCUCUAACCCUAUCAGUAGCUCCUCAUUCAUAGCAAAAGUCUUUAAAGAAGUUGUUAUGAUGAUCAGAGUAUUCCUUUAAGGCCAAAGUAGCUGGACUGGAAGCAUCUCUGACUUUCCCGUUAGGCUAUUUUUACCUUGAAUUCUAAAUUAGAUGGACACUAUAGACACCAGAACAACUACAGCGUAAUGCAGUUGUUAUAGUGAGUAUAAUAGGUCCCUUAAGGCUUUUUUCAGGCAAACAUUGCCUUUUCAGAGAAAAGGCAGUGUUUACAUUGCCCCUAGGGAAACCUCCAAGUGGCCACUCCUUAGAGGGCCAUUGAAGGUGCUUCCUGGCUCAAUGCUGCCGAAAAAGCAGCCCUGACGUUCAGCGUCCCCACGCUCUGCAUGAUAAAGCUGAAUUUUCCCCAUAGAGAUGCACUCUUGCAGACAUGCUAAAUACUUUAACACAGUUAUUAUUUAAUAGCCCUAGUUUCCUCUUGGAAAUACAGUAUCUACAAUUGCAUGCAAUAUUCCAGAUGAGGUCUGCCUAGGGGUCUGUAAAAUGGCAUACAAACCAUACUAUUUUGGCAGCUAAUACCACCACCAAUACAACCACAUUCCGCUAGCUUUACUUGCGGCAGUGUAGGUCUUCCCUGACGGGCUGGCUAGAGAUGCUGUUAACUUGGCAUUUAUACCCGAUAAGCCCCCCUUUAGACAGCCGCAUGACCUUCCCAAGAGGUACCACCCAUUUUGGCCAUCCUGGAAUGCCCCAAUAGACACUCUGAACCCUUUGUCCUGAGUUCAUACCUCCCAAUGUUGGGAGGUGUCCUCUUCUUCUAAUGCAGGCUGCUUAGUUUCCUGCAGCUCAGCUAACUCAGUGCUGUCAGUGGUUGAGAUGCGUGUGUAGACUGGUAAGGAAGUAAUUUUUUUGGAAUGGGGAGGUGUGGCAAAAGAGGAAAACUAAUGGUAAUUCUUUUCAAAAGCUACAGAGAACUAAUUAUGCAAAAUAGCGCAUAUUAAGAGGACAAAACAUAUUAAGCAUGUUUAAAAUUUAUUUACAUUUUUGGUGCUCACACUGUCCCUUUAAACCCAUACAAAAGGUUCUCAGCAGCAGAAUUAAAGUAUGAUAUCGGACACGGACACUAAGAAAUAUUUAUCAUUAUGACCAUAAGAGAAUGAAUGCAUCGCCUAGAUCCAGCCAGUGACCAGUGGUGCUGCUAGGGAAGGGUUGACAGAGGUCGAAGCCCUAGGUCCGAAUUCCUUGUUGCAGCAGGAAGCAUAGGUUGAUUCCAUCACCCAGCUUGACCCCUUCUCCAAACCAGAAUGCUCCCUGCCCUUGCCUCUUCCCUGGGUUUAAAGGCAACAACUACUUCAACAUGCUUGGUGUAUCACAGGAACCAAGAACCUCUGUGUAGAACAUAGUAAAAUAAGGGAAGGAGAGAACUAUGGACUGCUACUGUGAACCUUCAACUUAUUUGUUUGCAAAAAGUACAGUAAAGUAUCCCACCCCUGUGCAGAUCUAUAUGGAGCAGCUGAGAGAGAUAAGAUAAGUAAUAAAAUAUCUCUGAAACGUUUCAAACAGUAGGUUUUUAUUU